UCUGGCACCUUCGGUGUCCGAGUUGUAAUUUGAAGAAGGUAACUUUGGAGUUGGCUCUUGUCUAUGUUCCUUGGAACAGGACGUCACAGAGGGUGAGAAUCCCGUGCGAUGAGAUGUCCAACUCUAUGUAAAGUGCUUUCGAAGAGUCGAGUUGUUUGGGAAUGCAGCUCUAAGUGGGUGGUAAAUUCCAUCUAAAGCUAAAUAUUGGCGAGAGACCGAUAGCGAACAAGUACAGUGAUGGAAAGAUGAAAAGAACUUUGAAAAGAGAGUGAAAAAGUACGUGAAAUUGUUGAAAGGGAAGGGUUUGAGAUCAGACUUGGUAUUUUGUAUGUCUUGCUUUCGGGUGGGGCCUCUGCAGUUUACUGGGCCAGCAUCGGUUUGGACGGUAGGAUAAUGACAUUGGAAUGUGGCACUACUUCGGUGGUGUGUUA
rnacentral:rRNA from 1 species